rnacentral:misc_RNA from 1 species
GAAAUGCGAUAAGUAAUGUGAAUUGCAGAAUUCAGUGAAUCAUCGAAUCUUUGAACGCACCUUGCACCCUUUGGCAUUCCGAAGGGUAUGCUCGUUUGAGUGUCAUUGUACUCUCACACUUCCAAUCUUUGGAUUGGGGGCGGUGGACUUGGGUGUUGCUGCUUACUGUGGCUCACCUCAAAUUGAUUCGUGCACCUCUUGGUUGGACAUAGUACGGCGUGAUAAGUGUCUUCGCCGGCACCUCAGUAGAGGGUGGCUGAUCGGGAGCUCUGUGCUUCAAACCGUCCUCGGACAACAACUGACAACUUGACCUCAAAUCGAGUAGGACUACCCGCUGAACUUAA